rnacentral:rRNA from 1 species
CAGCAGCCACGGGAAUACAGAGGGUGCAAGCGUUAAUCGGAAUUACUGGGCGUAAAGCGCGCGUAGGUGGUUUGUUAAGUUGGAUGUGAAAUCCCCGGGCUCAACCUGGGAACUGCAUCCAAAACUGGCAAGCUAGAGUAUGGUAGAGGGUGGUGGAAUUUCCUGUGUAGCGGUGAAAUGCGUAGAUAUAGGAAGGAACACCAGUGGCGAAGUCGACCACCUGGACUGAUACUGACACUGAGGUGCGAAAGCGUGGGGAGCAAACAGGAUUAGAUACCCCUGUAGUCCCUGUCUCUUAUAA